rnacentral:rRNA from 1 species
CGCGUAGGCGGCUUUGUAAGUCACUUGUGAAAUCUCCGGGCUUAACUCGGAACGGCCAAGUGAUACUGCAAUGCUAGAGUGCAGAAGGGGCAAUCGGAAUUCUUGGUGUAGCGGUGAAAUGCGUAGAUAUCAAGAGGAACACCCGAGGUGAAGACGGGUUGCUGGGCUGACACUGACGCUGAUGCGCGAAAGCCAGGGAGCAAACG